rnacentral:rRNA from 1 species
AUACGAAGGGAGCUAGCGUUGUUCGGAAUUACUGGGCGUAAAGCGCACGUAGGCGGAUUGAUUAGUUAGGGGUGAAAUCCCAGGGCUUAACCCUGGAACUGCCUCUAAUACUGUCAGUCUAGAGAUCGAGAGAGGUGAGUGGAAUUCCGAGUGUAGAGGUGAAAUUCGUAGAUAUUCGGAGGAACACCAGUGGCGAAGGCGGCUCACUGGCUCGAUACUGACGCUGGGGUGCGAAAGCGUGGGGAGCAAACAGGAUUAGAAACCCUAGUAGUCC